rnacentral:rRNA from 1 species
AUACGGAGGAUCCGAGCGUUAUCCGGAUUUAUUGGGUUUAAAGGGUGCGCAGGCGGGAGAUUAAGUCGGCGGUGAAAUUUUUCAGCUCAACUGUAAAAGUGCCCUCGAAACUGGUUUCCUUGUGUGUAGAUGAAGGAGGCGGGAUUUGUGGGGUUGCGGUGAAAUGCAUAGAUAUCACGAGGAACUCCGAUUGCGCAGGCAGCUUACUAAACUACUACUGACGCUCAGGCACGAAGGCGUGGGGAUCAAACAGGAUUAGAUACCCUGGUAGUCCACGCAGUAAACGAUGAUUACUAGCUGUUUGCGAUACAAUGUAAGCGGCUGAGCGAAAGCGUUAAGUAAUCCACCUGGGGAGUACGUUCGCAAGAAUGAAACUCAAAUGAAUUGGCGGGG